UCCAUUCAAUUCCUUGAUAGUAUUCUCGUGGGGUGGUUAGAUGGUUGCAACGCGCCUCGAUCGAGAGAGAGGGAGAGAGAGAGAGAGCUCCCGUAUCCUCGUCAAGGUCAUCGAUCAGCGGAACUAGGAAGUCCUUACCGAUUCCGACGACGCUGACUCCGACGCGAGCCCUCGGACGCCGCGUUCGUCGAAGUCGACCGAGCCACUCUCUACGACACACGUCUUGGUUCGGCACUCUCCCUUUUCACGCCCCUCUGAACUUGGUCUUUAGAUGCGUUCGUCUAUGGCGUUUUUUGGCGAUCGGCAGUGGUUCUUGAGAUGCUGGUUCUUUUUCUUUCUACUUCUUGACUUAGCGAUAGGUCUCGGUUCCUUUUUCUUUAUGCUUCUUGAUUGGGGCGUUAGAUGAUUCGAUUCAACUUGGUGCUUGUCGGUUCUUUAUCCUUAUGCUCCUUGAUUCUGCAAUAGGUUGUUCUGCUUGAUAUGUUGAUAUGUUGGUUCUUUUUCAUAGUGCUUCUUGGUAAUAGAUGCUGGUUCUUUUUCGAUUCGCAUGUUAUGACAGUCUUUAGUUUGUAUUCCGAUUGAUUUUUUUUUUUAUUUAGUGCCUAUAUCGAUGUUGGUUGAUUAGUUGCAAGCCUUUGUGACACUCAUCUUUAGCUGCAUUCCUCUGUGGCGUUCUUUCUCUGUUCGGUCGGAAGUGGUUCUUGAUAUCUUAGUUCUUUUCUUUGUAUUUAAUGGCUUUGUGAUAGGUUGUGGUUUCUGUUUUUAUGCUUCUUGAUCUUCCGUCGGUAUGGUUCUUCGAUUCGAGUUUUGGCCGAUCCGUGGAUUUGUUCGGUUCCUCCUGAGUUUCUCCCGAUCUUUGUGGAUACUUGUAGCAUACUUUGCUGUCUUGUCUAAAUUCAUGACCAACGAUAGGUGGAAUAUAGAUAAGUUGUACUCCUCUUUCUCUUGCUUCUGCUCGAUUCUGCAACAGGUUGUUCUGCUUUAUAUGUUGGUUCUUUUUCUUUACGCUUCUUGAUUUCCAGAUUUUUGGUUUAUAUUCCGAUUGAUUCUUUUUCGAAUGCCUAUACCAAUGUUGGUUGAUUGUCUGCUAGUGCGAUAAUCCAGGAUGUAGUUUAUACGAGUUCGUAAUCGAGUUACUUCCUGCGACGCGUCAGAUAAGAAACUUUUUGGUUGAUUAGCUGCUAGUGUGAUAAUUCGGGAUGUGAUUUGAAUCGGAUCGAGAAAUAUGGAAAAUAUAGUUAGGCUUUAACCCAAAUCAAUCCGAUUGGAUGGUUUGGUCUGUGCGUACUUGGCAUCAUUGCACCCAAAUCGCUUUAGUGUUUGGUGUUUAAAUUGAUGGGGAUAUAAAGUGGAAUAAUCUUUAUAUAUGAACAAAUACUAACAGGUCAAAGCAAAAUUAAAUAAAAUAACAAUCAAAUAGAACACUCAGAUAUACAUAAAAAAACCCAAAAUCACGUGAUAAACUAGAGAUAAUCCAUUAUGAAAAUAAUGAAUAUAUAAAUCUCAAUCUCUCGUUCAAAAUCAAUAAUCAUAAGAGAAUAACUAGGAUAUAAGGAUCACGUCACUAUCCACAAUAUCUAAAAUCUCCCCAAGUAAUAAUAGCAAGAGUUUACUGUAGAUUUGAUCUAAUCGAGAACACUGUUAGAUGAUUGAGAACAGUCUUUUGCGUUGUCUUUGUUUUUUUCCCUUUUUUUCUUUUGUUUUUCUAUUUUUUUUUUGUAUUGCUACAGUUUUCUCUCAAAAAUACAGUCACAUUCCAAAACGCGGUCACCACACCCUCCUUAUAUUAAUCUUGGUUAUGUUAAGAGAUUUAAGAAAUUUCGAUUCAGGAGUUCUCCAGAGUCUGUUUAGUUUGUACAUGGGACUCCGCUCCUCUUUAUAGAUGUAGUGGUAGUAGUAGCUGUAUUGGCUGCGAUCAUCGAGAGCGAGUGGACGGUAGGAGUUCGGGCUUGAGGCGACGGGAGCCAUGGAAUCGCGGACCAUGGCCACUUUUCGAGAAUGACUGCGCCGGAAGCGGAUUCCCCCCUCCACAACGAUCACUACACAACUACUUCAUCCCCCUCUGACUCCAGCGAUGACGUUCCCGAGUCCUCGGUCACGCGUUCACCGACCCACGCUCUACCACCUUAUCUUGGAUUUUGCCCUCUAGGCUUGCUACAGAUUGACGUAAAAACCAAAGAAGUAGCACAGGCAUUACAAGUCACGCGGGUGAUCACAUAUUUGGGCACAUCCCUUCCUGUCAAUAUAUCGGAGAAGUGAGUGGAUGAUAGAGCAUUCUAUGGUAUAGCAGUUAAGUCUCCAUUGACUCCCGUUGUGAAGUAACAUAUACUUGACUGGUUGUGGGAAAAAAAAAACAUAUACAGAACUGAUAACAUUAACUUCAAUAACAUAACAUUUGGAGGUAUGAGAAUUAGUCGAAUAA